AUUGAACGCUGGCGGCAUGCUUUACACAUGCAAGUCGAACGGUAACAGGCCGCAAGGUGCUGACGAGUGGCGAACGGGUGAGUAAUGCAUCGGCACGUGCCCAGUCGUGGGGGAUAACUACUCGCAAGAGUAGCUAAUACCGCAUACGAUCUAUGGUUGAAAGCGGGGGACCGUAAGGCCUCGCGCGAUUGUAGCGGCCGAUGUCAGAUUAGGUAGUUGGUGGGGUAAAGGCUCACCAAGCCAACGAUCUGUAGCUGGUCUGAGAGGACGACCCGCCACACUGGGACUGAGACACGGCCCAGACUCCUACGGGAGGCAGCAGUGGGGAAUUUUGGACAAUGGGCGCAAGCCUGAUCCAGCAAUGCCGCGUGCAGGAAGAAGGCCUUCGGGUUGUAAAAUGCUUUUGUACGGAACGAAACGGCUCUGGUUAAUACCCGGGGCUAAUGACGGUACCGUAAGAAUAAGCACCGGCUAACUACGUG
rnacentral:rRNA from 1 species